CUAGACAAACUACUGCCUUGC
rnacentral:miRNA from 14 species